UACGAAGGGGGCUAGCGUUGCUCGGAAUCACUGGGCGUAAAGCGCACGUAGGCGGAUUGUUAAGUCGGGGGUGAAAUCCUGGAGCUCAACUCCAGAACUGCCUUCGAUACUGAGAGUCUCGAGUCCGGGAGAGGUGAGUGGAACUGCGAGUGUAGAGGUGAAAUUCGUAGAUAUUCGCAAGAACACCAGUGGCGAAGGCGGCUCACUGGCCCGGUACUGACGCUGAGGUGCGAAAGCGUGGGGAGCAAACAGG
rnacentral:rRNA from 1 species